CUGCCCAGAUAAGCCCACAUUUUAAAUCGACUAUUAAAUUUCUAAGUGCAAAGAGAGCCGUGAGAGAAUCAUGCUGCCAUUUCAUGUUUUCAUAAAAUCCCUAUAAAUAUGCCACAAAAAUAGAAUUUUUGGUAUAAAUGUAAUUCAUCUGGCAAUCGAAAAAC